rnacentral:rRNA from 1 species
UACGUAGGGCGCAAGCGUUAUCCGGAAUUAUUGGGCGUAAAGAGCUCGUAGGCGGUUUGUCGCGUCUGCCGUGAAAGUCCGGGGCUCAACUCCGGAUCUGCGGUGGGUACGGGCAGACUAGAGUGAUGUAGGGGAGACUGGAAUUCCUGGUGUAGCGGUGAAGAUGCGCAGAUAUCAGGAGGAACACCGAUGGCGAAGGCAGGUCUCUGGGCAUUAACUGACGCUGAGGAGCGAAAGCAUGGGGAGCGAACAGG